GUGGGGAAUAUUGGUCAAUGGGGGAAACCCUGAACCAGCAACGCCGCGUGAAGGAAGAAGGCUUUCGGGUUGUAAACUUCUUUGACAGGGGACGAAAGCAAUGACGGUACCCUGAAAACAAGCCACGGCUAACUACGUGCCAGCAGCCGCGGUAAUACGUAGGUGGCGAGCGUUGUCCGGAUUUACUGGGUGUAAAGGGCGUGUAGGCGGGGCGGUAAGUCAGAUGUGAAAUGUAGGGGCUCAACCCCUGAAUUGCAUUUGAAACUAUCGUUCUUGAGUGAUGGAGAGGCAGGCGGAAUUCCGUGUGUAGCGGUGAAAUGCGUAGAUAUACGGAGGAACACCAGUGGCGAAGGCGGCCUGCUGGACAUUAACUGACGCUGAGGCGCGAAAGCGUGGGGAGCAAACAGGAUUAGAUACCCUAGUAGUCC
rnacentral:rRNA from 1 species